AUGUGGUUAAUCUUAACCAAAGUCCUCAGUUAUGGGAAAAUGAACUGGAAAUGCAAGUUGUGCAACUUCACAACCACAAAAAGAUUAGACCUGCUGAAACACAUCAGGCUAAUACAUGGGCAUUUUGGUCGAGUCCACUCCAUACCCUGCCUUCAUGCAGAUUGCCCUUGCACUAUCAAGACAUGGGGUGCAUUAAGGACACAUUUGUCAAGGCAUCAUUCACAGUCAUCCCAGCCAGGCAACAUCCUUUCGUUCACAUGCAUUGUCUGUAAUUCAUGCUCUUUUGACAAUGAGAGGCAGUUUUUUGAACAUCUUGGUGGCCAUCUAAAAAAGUUUGAAACUGUGCCAUGUGUUUUUGAGGAUUGUGAUUAUAAGGUUAACAAAUAUACAACAUUCCACAGCCACAAGAGUAGAAAACACAACCCACAUUCCUUGGAAGAUUUCAAGACUAAUGUUCUUCAUCAAUACCAAAAGAACCCGGACGAAGAAUGUGACAUUGUUGACGAUGACAAUGAAUGUGGCUCAGUCCUUGAGGAGGAUGAGGACUUAAACAAAAUUAUUAGUAAGAAAGUGGGGCUACUCCUCCUGAAAAUGGAGAGCAUUUUCAAUGUCUCCAAUUCAUGCAUUGACGAACUAGUAGAGGAACUUCAUUUCCUUACAGCAUCUGCAUCUGGUCCCGUCAUUAAAGAAAUAAUUCUGAGCACUUUGAGAAAACAUGGCUGUACAUUGGAAGACUCAGUGAUUUCAGAACUGGUCAAAGACCUUUGCCGGCUAAGCCCUGUCUGUGCUGCUUUAAGAGUGGAAGGGCCUUUAAGCAGUCAGUUCAGGAGAGAGCAAUUUAGAAAGGAGCAUCUCUCAUUGACUGAACCUGUUGAGUACAUACUUGAUAGUACAGAUAAUAAAACAUUUCAGUAUAUACCAAUCCUCCCAUUAUUAUCUCAACUUGUGGACAACAGACACAUUCAAAACACAAUAUUACAAAACAAAAGGCCAGCUGAUGUCUCUUCAGAAUACAAAUCAUUUAAUGAUGGAUCUUUACUAAGAGAAAACAGCUUUUUAUGUGAAGACGAACUUAAACUGCCACUCAUCCUUUAUAUAGAUGACUUUGAGAUAUGCAACCCUUUGGGAACAUCCCGCAAGAAGCAUAAAGUCACAGCUGUGUAUUGGGUGUUUGCAGACAUACCUGCCACAUUGAGAUCUACACUGACUUCCAUUUACUUAACCAUUUUAUGCAAGGCAAAUGAUGUCAACCAGUUUGGCUAUGCAAAAGUUUUGGACCCACUGCUCAAAGAUUUGAAGUCCUUUGAAGAUAAUGGUAUUUUUGUUUCAAGUCUGGGCAAAGUGGUCAAGGGCACUGUACUUGCUGUAGUCGCUGACAAUCUUGGCGCUCACUCAAUAGGCGGGUUUGUUGAAAGCUUUUCAGCUUCACAUUUCUGUCGCUUUUGCAUUGGCGAAAGGUCACAGAUCCAGGAACAUGAAGUAGGAGAAGGACUGUUUCCUCUACGGACUAAGUCCAACUAUGCCAUCCAUGUCAAAGCAGCACUGUCUGAUCCUGCAGAAGCUCACCACUGUGGAGUUAAAAGACAGUGUCCAAUCUCAGACAGACUCAGCCACUUUCAUGCUACAUCAGGUUAUCCUCCAGAUGCUUUGCAUGAUUUGCUUGAAGGGAUUGUACCUGUUGAAAUUUCACUCUGUCUUGAUGUGUUAAUCAGGAAGAAAUACAUAUCUCUUGAGCAGCUCAACCAUUCCAUCCGUUGCUUUCCUUACAAAUGGAGUGACAAAACAAACUGUCCACAACCCAUUGCCCCAAAUUUCACAGCACGAAAAAGUGUAGGAGGUAAUGCACACGAAAACUGGUGUUUGUUGAGAAUGAUACCACUCAUGAUUGGUGACAAAAUACCAGAAGAUGAGCCUGCUUGGGAGGUUUUGAUGACCCUGAAAGAUGUUGUUGAGCUUGUCAUGGCUCCUCUCCACACAGAUCACACAAUAGGAUACAUGCAAAGUAAGAUCUCAGAACACCGUUACAGAUAUUUAGAAGUGUUCCCAGAGGAGAAACUGAGACCAAAACAUCACUUUCUCGAGCACUAUCCUUUGCUUACAACUGUUUACGGGCCACUUGUACAUUUCUGGACUAUGCGAUUUGAAGCCAAACAUCGAUUCUUUAAAAGGAUUGUGAGGCAGACUGGGUGUUUUAGAAACAUCCUCAUGACAAUGGCGAGAAAACACCAAUCGAUGAUUGCGUAUCAUACCCACAAUUACAACCACCAAAGGCCAGCACUGUCAGUGUCCCAGAAGACUCAAGUGGCAGUCGAUGUUCUAAAAGACAGCAUUAAGGAGUCCUUUGCAAGGAAGUUCCCAAGGGAAGACUUUGUGAACAUGACAAAUAAAGCAACCAUUUUAGGCACAGACUAUAAUAUUGGCAUGAUGCUGCCGUUUGGCUCAACAGGAGGCCUACCUGACUUUGCAGAAAUCCAUCAAAUAAUCAUUGUGGACAGAACUCCUGUCUUUGUUCUGAAGUUGCUUAGAGGCUGGUACUGUGAACACCUGAGGAGUUUCAAAGUAGAGCCCACAGGAGAGACAGAAAUCCUUAAACAUUCUGAACUGAAAGAAACAUACCCCAUGGCUGCAUACAAUACAGCAGAUGGCCGUAUGGUGUCCCUUAAACACUUCAUUUGCACAUCAGAGUAA
ensembl:lncRNA